rnacentral:lncRNA from 1 species
UGUUUCCAUGGAGAAGGAGGCAAUGGGUAGGGCUAGGAGUCAGAGCUUGAUUGCUGGGCUCUUGACGGUAGCAAGGACCUGCAGGAAGGUGGCAUAGGCUACUCCUUGUUGCAGGGCCCUGGGAAGUGGUAAUGAGCCUUAGAAAGAUUUAGGAGGUGCCCAGACUAUUUGGCAGUGGCAGCAGCAGGGUGUAUGAGUUCCCAGGGCAGUGAGAGCAAUAGCAAGAGGUGUUCGAUUGCACUGCUAUCCUCUAAUGUUAUUCAGGUACCCCUAGUGGUAUCUGGCCGCAGCCACCUCUGGAAUCAGUCAUAACUAUGGUGGUUUGCCCUUGCCACCUGCAGACCAUGGAGGAAGCACACUGUCUCACUUAGCCAACACAGGAUGUGCUGCAUAGGCUGUCUUAGUUGCAGGAUCCUGGGAAGUGGCAGAGAUGAAGUAUGUGGGCACUGCCCAGAGCAUUCUGCAGCGGCACCAACAGGGCCAGUGUGCUCCCAGGGGUGCAGGAGCAACAACAAGUGGUGUUUGGUCACAAUGACCUCCUCUGUGGUACCCUUGAGGUGACUGGGGCUGCAGGUGGUUCCUGUUCACAGACCCCUAGUGGUGGCCGGCCAUGCCCACCUCUGUAGUCAGAGAUAACUGCUGGUGGUUUGUCCUCACCACCUGUAGACCAUGCAAGAAGCACCUCAUCCUGCUUAGCCCCCAUAACAGGUUCUGCACCAGCUGCUCCUAGUUGUAGGUUCUUGGGAAGGGACAGUGAUCAAGUGUCUGGGCACUGCCCAGAGCAUUUUGCUGUGGCAGCAGCAGAGCGGAUGUACUCCCAGGGGAGUGAGAGCAACAGUAGUUUGUGUUCUGACACAAUGUCCUCCUUUAUGGUGCCCACUGAGGUGGUUGGGGCUGCAAGUGUUUCUUGUUCAGGGAUCCCACAUGUCAGUGGGCCAUGCCCACUUCUAUUGUCAGAGAUAACUGUGGUGGUUUCCUCCCAUCCCCUGCAGACCAUGCAGGAAGCACCCUGUCCCACUUAGCCCACGUAGGAGGUGCUACACCUGCUGCUCCUAGUUGUAGUGUCUUGGAAAGGGACAGUGAUGAAUCAUCUGGGCACUGCCCAGUGGCAGCUGCAGGGCAGGUAUGUUCCCAGGGGGUGAGAGCAAUAACGUGCAGUUUGCAGUGCCCUUUUUUUUUUCCCACCCCUGAGGUGUUUGGGGCCAUGGUGGAGCCCACUCACAGGCUCCCAGUGGUGGCAGGCCAUGCCUCACUCUGGCCUCUGAGAUAACUGCCAUGCUCAAUCCCUGCCGCCUGUAGAUCAUGCAAGAAGCACCACACUGCACUUAGCCCCUGCUGCCCUUAGCCCAUGCAAGAGUUUCCUGGCCACCUAUAACCUGCACAAGAAGCACCUGGUCUCCCAUAGCCAGAACAAGUGGCUUCUCACCAUCAGUAGCCUUCACCAGAGGUGCCCUACCCACCAAGAGCUUACACGCAUGUGCACAGGGAGAUUCCUAUGGUGCUCCACCCCUCCUCCUCUUGCCCUCUCCAACAAAUGGCACCUUGCUUCUCCUGUGGGCCCAGAUCUUCUCCCAUGUUCUCUCUGCCAUGGCAUUCCACUCCCCCGCCUGUGGCACCAUGCUCCUUAGCCCCUAAGGCUGUCCCCACACAGCCAACCCUAAGUUCAGCACCCAGCCCCCUCAGAGCAGUGGUACAGAUGAUCUGUGUGGCUCUCACUCUAUUUUGCCCUCCUCUGUCCAACUGCUGGCCUUUUCUCAGUGACUUUGAGGUCCCUCUCUCUUGGGCUGAUCUCCAGGAUGGUUAGGUGGCUUCCCAGGGUGUGGGUUCCUUUUCUCCUCACAGCUCCCUCUCAGGAAUGCUAGUCCUGUCCUGAUUGCCUUUCUCUCUCUCUCUUCUUUUUUUUUUUUUUUUUGUUCUACCCAGUUAUGUCAAGAGUUUCUUGCCCUUUUUGGAGGUUUAAGUUCUGCCAGCAUUCAAUAAAUAUUCUGUGCAAGUCAUUUUACAUGUAGAUGUGUUAUUUUUUGAUGUGUUUGUGGGAGAAGGUGAGUAUGGCAUCUUACUCCUCUGCUAUCUUGAUCCACCUCCAGUGAAGAACAUAAUUUUAAUGAACAUUAUUUACUUAAUAUUAGGAACAAAAUUUUAAGAAAAGUAUUUUUAGAAGAAGUUUUGGCCAGUAUCACUUUUCCUAGGUCAGUAAUCUGUAAGCAGUAAGGCAAGCUUGAAAAAAAAUGAUAAAAUUAGUUCAUCUGACCCCUUGAUUUUUGGCCCUCUGCUUGUUUUUACACUUCUCAUUGAAAACCAGAGUAGCAGCAAAAAGUUUCUAGGCUCUUCAGUACCAUAUCUGGAAAAAUAGCCUUUUCUGUUCUUAGAUAUAGUUAUUCUCUAGAUGCUGGUAACUUGAUGUGAUUUCCUCAGUGCAAAUGAACUGAUUUAUUUGAGCCCUCUCCUGAUGCUGACUGUUAAUUUUUGGUGGAGGCCAGACCCCGAAGUUGGUGGUGCGAUGGUAGUGGAGGGAAUGAAUUAUGACUGUGCUGAUUUCUUGGAGCUUUCUACAGCAUGUUGAAGGAUUACAUGAAGCCUUGUCAUCACAAAUAAGCUGGUUCAAAACAAAGACGUAAUAUUCAUUACAGACAUAAUGCAAGUAUUACAGCUAAUAUGGUAGUAUGAGGGAAGUUCUAGAAAGGAAAACUGUUUUCUGUUUGCAUGAAAGACAAUAGGAGUAAGUUACUUUGACAUGCAUUGUGUGUUCAUAUUUUCUCUGCUUUUUCUAUUUAUAUGCAUAAAAAAUUAAACCUUUGACUGGGUAGCAGUUGGCAAUGGUUCAUUUUUAUUCACCAUUGUCUACUAACUGGAUUAAAUAAUUACAAUUUCUCCUACCAUCUGAGACUUUCGCUGACAUUUGGCUGCCUCUGCCCUACUGCUCAUUUAUGUUUAAGUUUGUACCUGCUCAUUAACUCAUUUGUCCUAAAAAUAACUUUGAAAGGCUCAGAUCCUGAGCUGUUAGCAUUUAGCCUAUAUGGUUAAGGCAAUAAAAUCACAUCUGGCCAGAGCUCAAAAAGCUGACUCUGUUCUCAUUUUUAAGACUAAGAUGAAGAAAUGUAUAUUUGAGACUGAUUCUGAUUAGUUCUAAAAACUGUAAAAUACUAAAGGCUAUCAUGAAGGAUGUGCCUCAUCUUACUGCAGGGUUUGUUACUUCAUUUCCAAUCAUCAGAAUUCAGUUAUAGCAUUUCUCUUGGACAUGAAAACUACCAUCUCUUGUCUUUCCCACAAAACCUUAAGCCAAAACACUUAGCAAUAGUACUCUAUUUUGUGGUUAAAUAUUUCCAUGCAGAAUUUUUCAUUUUUUAGAAAUAAAAGUAUCAUCCUUAAUUAUCUGCACUUUGCAGUGCCAAAACUUAUUGUGUAACAUUUGCAUUUGAUCUUUGAGUGAAAUAUUCACAGGUUUGGCUAAACUAGUUCUUUAUUUUCAUAACAAAAGUCAUUCUGGGAAUAAUUCCAUGUAUGUAAAGAUUCUGGGAAAUAGUUCCUAUUUUCAGGGUUCGAUGUGAGGAUUUAUGGGUUAUUUAUUUUGUGGGGCUGAAGCAAAAAAAUUCUUUAAAAUAUUUUGAUGCAAAUGUAUUAUAUAUUUAAUGCAAUUAAUAAAGUGAAAAUAGGUUACUUAGUAAAAUCAAAAGUGGUAGGAGGGUGAAUAGAGGAAGUAGCAGUUAAAUAAAACCAACUUGAUACAAUAUUUCAGUAAGUCUUCAUCUGUUGAUUUGACACUUAGAGUUUACCUUGUACAAUUAUUUACUUUAAAAACAUAUCCUGUAUUCUAACCUACGUGAGAAUAGGCACCUUAAAAUGUGUCUCUUUUAUAUUGAUCACAAAACUUAGCAUAAUGAACUAGAUAAAAAAGCUUAUUCGUGGUAUUGAUGUAUAACACAAUUUUUAAUUCAGUAUUAUCUUAAAAGUUUACAAAACUCUCACUGUUUUGUCUCUUUUUAUCUUUCCCAAAAUUGCUUAUCAGAAAAAAAUGUAAAUGUACAAUGAAUUUUCUUCCUGAGUCGUGUUAAAUAAAAUCUUAAGCAGAGAACAUUAACUUUUUAUUUAUGAUUAUUACUAUUAUAAAAGUAAAAAAUAACAUAGAUAUUAUAGAAAGACAGUGAAGAGUGAAAUUUUACUCUUGUAAUCACCUUGUCCCAUUCUACUGACUAGUAAUAGUAGCCAUUAGUAAUAUUUUGUGUCUUUGAAGAAAGUUUUCAUACAUAAAUAUGCAUAUAUACUUGUAAUUAUUUUGACAAUAAAAUAAAAAUCUAUGCAUAUUUAGUACAUGUAAGGUACAAAUAAUAUAUUACAAAGAGGAUAUGUAUCUCCCUUUAUAAUAUUUUUUCAUCUGAAUUUUGUAUUAUAUAACUGGGGGAGUUCCCUUCAUGGCUCAGCAGAAACUCACCCGACUAGUAUCCAUGAGGAUUCCAGUUCCACCCCUGGCCCUGCUCAGUGGGUUAAGGAUCUGGCGUUGCAGUGAGCUGUGUUGUAGAUUGCAGACCUGACUCAGUUCCAGCCUUGCUGUGGCUUUGGGUAGGCAGGCAGCUGCAGCUCCAAUUGGACCCCUAGCCUGGGAACUUCCAUAUGC